UUCUAAGAAGAUCUGAAACCCAUAACCCUCCCGGACAGGUUGCUUGGGGUCUGAGAGUAGGUGAGGGAAGGAGUAACCAUUGAAGGCACCUGCUUGUGGGCACAGCCAUAAAGCCCCCAGCAUGCGGAGAGCGUGGUGCAUCUUUGCUCUCAGGGAUAUUGGUGGCACUCCUCGGUGGGCAGAAGGGCAGGGGGGUCUUUGGUGGCUGGAGAAAGUGCUUUGCCAGCUGAGAAUUUUUUUUUUUUACCAACCACAUCUAAGCUGGUUUCUGUGAAGGAUGAGAUGAUGCUGAGUCAUCAAAUCCUUAUCACCAGGGACUAACAGCUGGCUUGGGCUGCUCAGGGACCCAGGGUGCUGGAGCUUGUGGGGGCCAGGCAGGGACUCUGAGCAGGUGCCCAGCCCCGCUGCGGGGGCCCUACGCACUCAGGGACACGGGGGCCGUAAACACCAGAGAUGUUCCCACCCCAAGACAGGUCCCUGAGAAAGAGAGGAGACAGGUCAGGCAUGCAGGAUGGGUCAGCGUCUGCGAUGGUCCGUGUCAGAUGACGUUUGCAGGAGACAGGACGUGUCUUCCUUUGAAAAAAUUUCUAUAAUGGAAGUUUUCAUAAUCCCUGAAAAAUAGAAUACAGAACACAAGGUCCUGUGCGUAUCACCCUGAUUUGACAGUUCCUGAGAAUUGUCACGUUUAUUUAUCGUUUCCUUGCUCUUUGCUGUUCCCUUGGGUAACCCCCUUCAGUAUUACUCUGUAAUUUCCAGAAGGUUUGUUUACAAUGAUAUCUAACCCCUGUAACUGCAAGGUCAUCCCUCUAAAAAUUAUUUCUAAAUUUUUAAAUUCAUCUGUUAUGAUUUUUCAUCAAUUCCAUCAAGUGACCUUAAUAAGCACCCAACACUGGUAUUACCUCAUUGAAGUAUCCCCAAACCCAUAGCAGACACUCUGCGGUUUUGCCCCCGUAAAUUUUGUGACACAAUUACAGCUCUGAUAACACCGUAUCAAAAUCAGCAGGAAUUCCUCCCUAUGGGCUGAUGCCCUGUCCGUAACUGACUUCUCUGAUGGCCUCAGGAAUACCUUUUUGCAGCUGGUUUGUUUAAAUUGGGUUCCCAACAAGGUCCACACAUCAAGUUUGAUUGCUGGGCCAUUUAAAUCUCUCUGGAUCUAGAUCAGGCAUCACCCCCACCCCAAUUUCCCUCCUGCCAUGACUUGUAGAAGCCAGAUCAGCUGUCCUGCCCAGUGUCUGCACAUUCUCCAUCCGAUUGAUCUGAUCACCUCCUGUGGCGUCACUUUGUUCCCAUCUCUCCUGGAAACAGAAGUUUAGCUGUGGAAGCUUGAUCCCAUGCAGGCUCAUCUUUCUGCUAGAACCCUUCAUGGGCGGGCAUGUGUCUCACCCAGAGCUCACCUGUGAUGCUGGGGCCACUCAGCAGGUCUGCUGGACGGGCCCCAGCUCCUCGCUAACAUCUUUCAUCGAUGGUCUUAUCCAUCCAUGACCGUUUCAAGAAAUAAUUAUGUCACAAAGAGCUUGCAAAAUGGUGAUUUCCGAAUGGCAUCGUCCUUCUGCAGUGAGGAGCUGGAAUCCUCCUGUGAAUCAAACCAAACCAUCCGCAUCAACUGGACUUACAGAUUACCCUGGAAUCCAGCUCAAAAGGAGACAUCCUUAAUUCGUUUCUUUUCACAAUUUUCAAAGUAGAGUUGGGAGCCUGUUACGUCCAGUGGGUUUCCCUGAAAUUUUGUUUUGUUUUCUCUUUUUCUACAUAUUUUUCUAUUUUAUGUAUUUAGUGUGUUUUUAUCACUUGCCUUUAGUAUUCUUUUUAGGCUUGAUUUGUCUCUCGUUGGCCAGGGAUUUCUGACUUUUCCCCCCCUCAGAGGUGGCAGGCCAGGGGCGGGGAACAGGAGGAAGGGUGACUCCCUCAGGCAGCGGGUGACCGGCAUGCUAGCCUUGCAGGGGCCUCAUUGGGGAAAAGCUCUUUAUUUAUUUUCCUGUCUUGUUUGAAGUGCCUGGGUUGAGCCCUCUGAUAACUAGCCAUAUCUAAGCAGAAUCCGAUUAGAGGGCAGGGGGUUCUGAUAGUCACGGAGCCCUGUUGGGAAGAGGGAAAGAAAUGCCUCGCCUGAAAACCCCAGAACCAGAACAAAAAGGUCGCCUGGCUUUGUAGUCUCUGAGAGGGCCACCAGGUGGCGCUGUCCAGCCACCGAUCUGCUGGCCUCGCGCUACCCCAAUGGGUUCCCCUGCCGGCUGCUUCCACCAGGCCCUGGGGGCCAAGGGAGGACAGAGUCCCCUGUGCCCCACAGGGUGCGUGGAUGUGGGUUUGCUGGUGCUGUCCCCAACCCCGGCAUGCUGGGCUCCACCCUGCUGAUAGGGGCUCAGGGUGGGCUUGUGUCUACCUGCUCCUAAAAGGAAAACCGACGUCUGUUGGUUAGCCAGCUGGGGCUGGGGGGCAGGUGGGUGUCGCCGGAGUGAGGUGGCCCGUUGGUGGGUGUGGGUUCCAGCUUCCUGCCCCCGGCGGGAAUGGGGGGUGGUCCAGUGUGGUGGAGGGCAGGAAGGGGCUCCCUGGCUCAAGGGUGCCUGGUGAAUGGCGGGUCACCAGGAAGGCAUCCUCCAUCAGGCAAAAGGAAGCUCUUCCUGGGGUCCGGCGCGAGGGUCUUGAUGGAUGGAAGGUGGGGCAAGGUCCCGACCAGCCAUUUGCCCCUGGGGCAGGAGCGGGGGGCUCCUGUGUUCCAGCCCCUGACUGCCUUCCCUGCUGGGUGCCGUCCUGGGGGCUGCUCAGGGCACGAUGGGGAGUGGGGGGUCUGUGGGACCAGAUAGAGGGACUGACCACCUGCUGGGCUACCGUCCACAGCCUGGUAGGCCCCCAUGCCCUGCCUCACCCCCUCACCAAGUAGAGCUCAUGCACCCCACAUUUCUUCUAUGGCCGAGUGAUCGUGUCACCUUGUGAGGGGAUCCAGGGAGGAUGUGGGGGCCCUGGGGGGGUUUCAUGAGCAAAGGGUCCAAGGCAGGGGGAGGGGCUGAGUCCCCAUCUCAUGACCUCUUGGGUGCCCGCGAAGCCCUGUGCCCGAGGUGGGCUUCCAAAGGCAGACCUGGCCCUCUCAGCACUGGGUUCCUCGGGAGCAAAUGGCUGGGAAAUUUGGGGUUGCCAGCAUGGGGGCCUGGCAGCUGGGCCUCAGGGCAGAACUGGGACUUCCGAUGCCCCUCUGCCCUCACCAGCCUGCCCUUGGGGUCCUGGAGGGAGAUUCCUCUUCUUCCUUCUCAGGGAGGGGGAGGCUCUGGCCAGCUCCCAGGGACCCUGGAGGACCUGCCAGCCGGAGGGGGGGGGGGGGGGCAAGUGAAGUGGGCAGGGGAGGCCUGGACAAGGGGCUGGUCAAGGCCUUUUCAGCAGGGAUGCCAGGCCUUGCGGGGAGGAGGGUGUGUGUGGCUGCCACCUCCUCCAGGGGCGAGGCCCGCGUCUGCCACCCCCUAGUCAUGGGGCCGCCAUUGUGGAGAUGGCCCUGCCUGGCUGGGUUCCUGCCGUCCCCUUCCCCUCAGGGGUGCCAGAUGGGGUUGGUCCGAGGCAGCCAGGUCCGGGCUCUGGCUCCUGGCCCAUCCCCUCCCGAGGGCCCUGGGGGAGCCAGGAGGAGGGCCAAGCAGGCCGGCAGAUGGUGGGCCGGGAGGAGGGGCUGCCCGGGCAGAUGGGCCGACUGUCAGGACAGAUGGUGGGCCGGGCAGGGGUCCGGAGCCCGCCCCAUCUGCUCCAGGCUCCUGGUGGGGCUUUUCUUGUCCACCUGGGGUUGAAUUGGGAGGAGGCCCAGGCCUGCUCAUGUUCUGCUGGGUCCCUUCUGACCCAGGGCUCAGGGCUGGGUGUCCCUGCCUAGGGCUGGUCUGGGGUCUUGUAGCCCCCUUCCCGCAGCUGGCACUGGGCCGGUGGUCACAGAGCUGGAGGGAUUCCCGAGAGUCCAGGGGUGGCAGAGUAGAGCAUGUGGCACUAGGUGAUGCCAGGGGGCUCCCGGGACAGGCAGGUGAUAAGUGCUCCCUUGUCAUCAGCAGUCAGCUUGCUACAGCAGAUGAGGGGGUCAUGGACGAGGGUCAGUAGCCGAGGGAGGGUCACCCCGGUGGGGGGCCAGGGCUGCUUCCCAUAGGACCGGAUGGCUGAGCCCACGCAGGCUCCAGGGUGGGACGAGGGUGGCGGGUGGGCAGACGGAGGCCAAGGCAGGAGGCGGGGGGUGGUCCGCUCCACUGUGAGAGGCGCGAAGACUGGGCAUCCAGGGGAGGCUGUGGGGUCACCUCCCGGGACGUCAGUCCUCAGACCCCUGUGCGGGGUCUGCCACGGCCAUGUCCUGGGCCCGAGGGGGUUGGGAGAAUUGAUCCUAUUGUGUUCUUAUAUUGAUAAUGAUGCUCGAAAAAUACCUUUUUCUCUUUUUGGCCAAUUACAAAGGAAAACCUUUGCUGCGCCCAGUGCGACAAACAGCUGUUUUCACAGAGCCCGGCUUCGGGCUGAGCGUUGGGGUUUUCCUAUUGCCGGGAGCGCCUCCCGUGAGGGAGGGAGGCCGGUCCCCUGCUCCAGGCGGGAGGGAAGGGACCGGGCGGGGGUGUGGGGGAGACAGGGUGGAGGAGGGGGCGUGACAGGGUCCAGGUGGCCUUCCAGAAGGUCCCCUGGAUGCCGGGUAGAGUGUGGUCCUGGCGUCUGCCCCAGUGAGGGCUCAGGGCUUGGGCAGCACCCCCUGCCCACCCCGCCUGUGGCUGUAGGGAGCUCACCUUGCCCGCUCCCUGCCAUCCUCCUCCCUGGUUCCUCCCCAAAUUCAGCUCUCCCGGAGCCAGAUCGCAGGGUCCAAUCCCCCUCCAUACCUGCCCAAGGUCACUCAGCCUCUCUGGGCUUUGAUUCCUUCAGGUGUAAAAGGGGGACAGUCACAUCUGUACUUGGUGGGGUCGCUGUGACGAUUCACUGACGAUGGCUUAGGCCCCCCCCCCGUCCUGCACACAGCUGGUGCCCGCUCCUAUAAUCACUACGUUGUGGUCUUCGUUUUCUCUUGUUGGGGUGGAACCCACUUACGUUAGAGAAACUCGUUCAAGUCAGUGGCGUCUCGUGCCUUGCGGUGUCUGCCACCAUCAGUGCUGUCUACUUCUAGAACAUUGUCAGCAGCCCCGGGGACCCCCCAGCCUCUCCAGCAGCGCCCCUGGCAGCCCCCAACCUUCCGUCUGCCUCUGGAGUUGCCUGGCGCCAUCCUCGGGGCACCAUGUGCUCAGGGUCCAUCCGCGUCGCAGGAGGGGUCAGAGUCCGUCCCUUUGCGCGGCGGCGGGAUAUUCCACGGUGUGGCUAGACCACAUCCCGCGUCUCCUUUCGCGCAUCGAUGCAUAUUUGGACUGCUUCUACCUUUCGGCUCUUGUCAGGAAUGGUGCUGUGAACGUGUGUGUACACAUUUUUAUUUGAACACCUGUUGCAUUUUUCUUUAUGUGGAACCCUUUGCAAAUGUGGGUGUUGUCCUGGUGCAGGGGCCACGCUGAGCAUCUCCGUACGGUUUCAGUUUUAGCAUAUAGGCGCAAGCGUUCUGGUGCAUGUCUUAACCUUUAUUAUCUGGAUCCUUCUUUAUGGUCCAUGGAUGAUGAUGAAACUCUUUGUUGAAAUCCUAGUAGUGCCAGGCUCCUUCUCGUCAUGAGGCUGACUCCAUGCUGCCUCGUGCUGCAUGUGGGGGAACCUGAGGCACACAGAGACGCAGCCCCUUCCUGUGGUCUUCUGCUGUUCCCGCACGUGGGCUGUCCCUGGGCUUGUCCCUGCCCGCGUGUCAUGGGGCUCCUCAUCUGGUACAGUGGCUGUGGGUAUGGGGGACCCUGGCUCCCGUGCCUUCCUCCUCCCCCUCCCCGUCCUGUCUGCUCCUCGUCCACUCUGCCGGGCUUCCCCUCCCUCCUCCUGCCUGGGAUCACCCGGGUCCCCCAUGGGCAUCCCUGGUUCUGCAGGUGUCACCUUGGGCUGUGGAUGUGGCUCACUCCUGCUUGAGACCUUUGGCCUCCUGCGCAGACACAGAGCCUGAGCCUUGCUUCCCUGGCCUGGAGGGGCCCCAGUGAGUCUGGGAGCCAGGAGGGAGGAGAUCUUGUUCUCUAGGGAGGAGCUCCCUUGUGCGCAGAGAACUUGCAGAGCUCCCCACUUAGGGACAGUGUCAAGUGGCCUCUGCCUGAGGCCACGCAGCUGGUAUUCGUGUCUGAGAACGGAAGGACUUGUGUCUGGGAGUGGGCGCUCGGGGGCUUCCACCCCUGCCCUGGUGGACACGGCUCUGGAUUCCUGGAUGGCAGGGGCGGGGGCUGCCUCUCUCCCGGCAAGGGUGGGACUGGACCAUAAGCAGGCCCCCUGCACACCUCUCGCAGGUUCUGAGUCUUGGGCAGAGGGCCAUUUGGGCGGAAAGGAGGGCUGACUUGUCCUUGCAGUGACCCGGCCCUGCCUUUGUGAGCCAGAUUCUUCAGCUCCUCCCCUGCCCUGGGCCUCCUACAUCCUCUGAGCCAUGCCCCCUUGCCUUCCACCCCCGAGUGCUGCAGCAGUAGCCCGGGCCCCUGGGGACACCCGGCCCCCUGGGGACCUCCUUCCUUUGGUGCUGUCUGCCCGCACGGCUGCCCCUGGGAGGCCCCACGGUUCUCUGGGGCCACACGGAGCCCAGACUAAGGUGGCGAGCGCAGGGCCCUGGUGGGGGCAGAAGAGCUUCUCUGGCUGCCGCCUGGGGUUGAGACGUCCGUGGUGGACACUGGUGUCCUCUGUUGGGCCCUUUCCCGCCCGUCCUGCCUAACCUGCUAUCGAUCGCGGACCAGGCCCCUCCCUUCGAUCUCAUUUUCGUGGCUAAUGGCUUUGGCUGCCAUUGAUCCGCAGCAAAGGAGCCUCUUGCUCAGGCAUCUCCUCACUGCACCCUGCGGCCGGUCUGAGACUUUACGUACCAGCCCCUCCCCGUGCCGCCCUUGCGCCCUGCCGGCCCUCCCCCACCCCACGUCCCUCCCCGGGUCCCUGCCCCCCCCCCAUGCCUUGUCCCUCCCUUCAGGGCCCUCCAGGAGGAAGACAGAAUACCCACCACCCAUCCCCUUCUCACCAGGCCCAGGAGAACAUCUCUCCUCCACUUGCACCAACCGACUCAUCUAGCUGGGUGGAGGAACUUUCUGGUGAGAAGCCUCAGGGGAGGGAAGGACGAUGGGGUUCCACACCCCCCCACCCCAAGCUCCCUAUUAACCUUGGGCAUCAGGCUCCCACCUCUGGGUUUAACUCCUACCGGACCUGGGAAGAAAGCCUCUAUCUGCAAGGAAGGCCCCUCCCUCGGGAUGCAUCAUCACGGAGCCCUGGGGGGAGGUGGGGGAGACCCCUGAGAUGGUGCCAGUGGGCAGAGGGGCCUGGGGCCAGGUUGGGCCUGUGGAGGCUUCUUGUUGGAGCUGCAGUCCCUCGUCUGCAGAGCCCCUGCCCCUCCCUGCUCCCCUGCCUAGGAAAGCCCUGAAGGAUCAGGCCAAGGAGAAUGUCACAGAAGGGACACCGUCCAGUGUAGGUGCCCGGUCGGUAGGCCGAGGGGUCCUCUGCUCCUUCCUUCCCUCCCACUGUAGCUGGGCUUCCGCCUUUCUGCUCAGUCCCCAAAUGCCUGGCCCCACCCAAGAUUCCAGGCCCCCAGCAGUGGGAAGGGGUAGUGGGGGCUCCCAGAUUUGGCAUUGCAGAUGCCACCUGGCCCUGUGUGGCCACAUACCCUGGGCUCCUUCCCAAGCCCUGGCUGCUGGGGAGUGGGGAGUCCCCAGCUAUGAAAUAGACUCACAGCAACGCAGCCAGACCACAGUGGCUACAGCUGGGACCCCCCACCACCCUCGUCUAAGACCCACUGCCACCUUCCCCCCAGCACCCGGCACUGAUCUUGUGUCUGAGUCCCCUGGAGGACUUGGUAAACCCAGUCGCUGGGUCCCGUGCCCAAAGCGUCUGACUCUGUGGCGUCUCGGGUGAGGCCUGAGAAUCCACAUUUCAUCUGGCCAGUGCUCUGGGGCCCCACUUUGAGAACCACGUUAACCAAGCUCGGAAAGUUUCCCUUCUUAGGAAUGGCACCAGGACUUCAUGUUUUGCUUCUUUCAGCCUCUGCUGGAAACCAAGCCAGUGUCUAAGGGCCAUCGAGGGGGCAGAGGGGGUGUCUGGGAUCAGUCCUUGCCGGCAGGCUGAGAAGCAGGGGGGCAAGAUCAUCUCACUGCUGGCAGGAACCCCCUGGGGGCCCUCUGCACAUUCCGCAGCAUGUGCUGCCCGCCCCUGGGCCAACCCCACACAUCAUUUCGAGCCAUCACAUUAACAGGUAUAAAAUAUUUACUUAACUCAGCUUUUUGCAAAUAUUCCUUUGGUUCCUUUCCCUCUGCUGGGAACAUAAGCUCUGCAGCCGAUGUGAGCUGAAAGGGUUGGGUGUUGAAUAAUACAAGACAAGCCUGUGAAGGCUGGGCAGCUCCACGCGUGUCCGGAUUGCCUGCCUGUGAAGCCCUGUCCCCCGGUCACUGCACCACAGGGGCUGGAAAAGCUGCCUCUAUAAAUGGGGGUGGAAGUGCGGGCGGGCCGGGGUGGCUGCUCAGGAGACAAUUAAAAUCACAUUUCUAAAGCCUACCAUCCACUCUUCUAGAAGCCAGUUGUCGAGACCUUCGGGAAAACAAAUGAGAAAUGUUUAAAAAUGUAUCACUGCUUUAUCUUUUAAUACCUUUUAUUGAAAUGUUUCCUUUUUUAUAGGUUUUCUUCUGACUGCCAUUUUGCUCCCCCCUCUCUCCUGGAGCUGCAGCUCCAGGUCCCUGAGGCUUAGUGGAAAAGCCCUAAAAUAGUAAACGGAUUCGGAGUGGCCCAGGGGCCACCCACCAGCUUCUCUGGGUUAGUCAUGAAUUGCUGCAUUCCACCCCAUCCUUUACGUGGUGAGGUGGGGCCUCUGGAGCCCAAGGUGUGACCUGAAGCCAAAGGACUUGUCGCCGUCCCAGGGGUCUGUCCCUAGGGCCCUGCUGGUGUCAGGAAGGGGUGAAGAAAGCAAGCGUCUUCUCCGAGAGCCCAAGGGUGUGGGUGUCCAGGGGACCCUGGAGGCUUGGCCUCCUGAUCAUCCCAGCCUCAUGCCUCCCAGAACUCAGAAGCCGCAAGGAUGCUCGGGAGGAUCUUGCUCCCGGAAGGGCAGUCAGAUCAGAGGCGAGGGAGUGGAAGAGUAGGGUUCGUGGGUGGCCUCUGGGAACUGAGAGCCACCCCGGCCAUCAGCCAGCAGGAGGACAUGAGGGCCUAAGACCACAAGGAAGGGAGUUCUGCCGACAACCAGCAGGAGCUUGGAAGUGGCUCCUUCCCCAGGUGAGCCUCUGAUGAAACCGCACACUGGCCACCCCCUUCACAGGGCCAGGCAGGGGCGGCCACAUCCAGGUCGUACGUACAGGCCCAGAACAAAGGACCCUAACUCAGAGGCCACGCAAGCUGAUCCACGGCCCCGGCUCUGGCUUGCACUGUCAUUGAGAUAAAAACAGUGAAAAGGAUGAAAAUAUGCUCUUUUGGUAAGAGGAAGAGUGAAGUUAGGCAGGCAAGCUAGCCCAGAAAACAGAUGGUUAACGGUUACCAAGGGACCUGUUCACCUCCUUGCAGAAGAAGGCUUUGGGGGUUUGGUUUACAUGCUGACACGUCAAGACGUCAUGGUGGGGGGGAGCUCAGCAGGCCCCCUCCUGGGCAGGAGCCAGCCAGGGCAGGGCCAAGGGGCUCUGCAGCCCUACACUCCCUCUCCCUUCCCCGCACCCCUGCCCUGUGUCACCUGGGACUGGACCGGGGUUACCUGCAGGGGGGACCCCACACCGGGCCCCCCCUUUCUGCUGUGGAUCUCCACGGAGAUCGUGAGGUCGGUGAGGGCUGGGCUGUGCUCUCUGCAGCCAGCCUCACACACGGCCUCACAGAGUUGAAUGUGGUGAGCGCUUCUUCUGUGCUUGUGACCUCUACCUCCACGUGUUUGGUGACAGGUCGUCCCCACGGAGAACACGCUAUCUGGCUUUCGGGCUGUGCCUCGCCCACAACCCAGGGGGAGGGCCCCGCUCCCAGCCCCGGGAUGCAGCCUGUGGGAUUGGGGCUGCUGUGGGCUCCUCGUGAUCGUGGUCCCCGUCCCGCGUGAGCAAGGACGUCUUACUUAUUUUCUUGGUAGGGCAUCUUUCCUUCACGGUUGGCUCUCUCGGUUUCCUGCUGUCUCCGGGGAAGCCUGUGUGCCCGCUGUGCCUGCCGGCUGGGAACCAGCCCCUCAGCCCAGGGACAGCGUGGAGGGGGAGGGUGCCCACACUGGGAGCUUCCCUGGGUUUGCAGCCAAAGCCAGGAGGCUGCUCAGCUCUUUCUUCACAAUGAAAUGCAGAUUUCCCAUUAAAAGGCAAAUCUUUAUUUCAAAAGGUUCAAUAGGAUGUGACUUAAAAAAGAUUUCCAGCUGGUUAAAUUUAGGGCAGGGCAGCAGGCCCGGUCCUGAGUGCCGAGUGAGCCGGAGCCUGCAGCAGAGCCUCGGGAGGGGCUCGGCAGUUUCCACUCGCGGCGCCCCCCCUCGUGGGGCUUCUUUUCUCUCCCUCUGAGUCAGACAAACAAUGCAGAUGGCCAUGCUGGCCAGGGUUGUGCUUACUUAAAAUAAGCGACAUCAGUUGCGGGGAGGCCAGCUGGAGAUGGCCUCGUCCCGGCUGCCUGACCCCCUCUCUGCAGGGUGACACCCUCUCUGCGGGGUGGGCAGGACGUGUCCGGCACCCGGGGCUCUUUCUCCUCCCAGUGACCUGUGUGCCCUGCAUGCAGCUGAGCUCUGGAGCCUGACCCAGCUGUUUCUUACUUCUAUUCCGAGGCUCCUGUCCCUAUUCCACCCCCCCAUCAGGCCUCCUGGGGGGCAGGAGGAGCCCCUGGGAGUAGGAGAGUGGCCCUUAGACCCAGUCCCCUGACAGGCCAGAUGAGCGGGCUGCUUGGACCUGGCUGUGCUGGACUGAUGCGUCUCCAACAUGCGGAGGGGCCCCCACGGUGGGCCAAGCCCAAUGCCAGCCCACGAAAGCCAGCAGUGGAAGAAGCCCUAUCGAGAGAGACACAGUGAGAGCAGGAACACAAGCGGGGGGAGUGGGAGAGGGAGAAGCAGGCCUCCCGCGGAGCAGGGAGCCCGACGUGGGACUCGAUCCCAGGACCCAGGGAUCAUGACCUGAGCCAAAGGCAGACGCUUAAUGACUGAGCCACCCAGGCGCCCCGUCCUGUGUUUUGAAUUGUUCAUUUGCUUGCUUUUCUUUAUGGUUGUAACUACUCUGUGUUUCCUCCAAACAGCAUAUGAUUUACUUGUAUAUUUCUGAACUUUGUUCGAAUAGACUCACACUGUAUUUUCUUCUGCACCUUUUUCCCUUUUUUAAACUCUAUGUUGUUUUUUCUGAGCUUCACGCAUGCGAAACGUGGUUCAUUUCUUUUCAGUGCCAGGUAGAAUUCCAGUGUGGGAGUGCACCACAAACCCCCAUCCUCCAGUUGUUGGAUACGUGUUCAAGGAUGUCAGGCUGCAUUGCUAUGAACAUUGGGUUCUGGCUGGCUGACCUCUGAGGGCGCUGGGCAGAAGCCCCAGAUUUGGAGGCAAUCCCUAGUUUUCUGCUUUUCCGCUGUUCCAGAAACAAUCCUGCUCCCUCCCAGCACAGCUGCUCUUAGCAGUCAAGGAGCCCAUGAGAGCCUGCUUUCUCAGCCUCCAGGGGUUCCCACUGUUUCCCCUCAGGAGCAGCUAGCUGGUGACAUCAGCAAGAGUCACCCUGAUGGAAUGGUCCGUUCCUCCAGGAACUGAUCCUUUCUUCCUGCCAGGGAAGUUUGUGUGAAGGUGGGGUGAGUCUCUGGUCUGCUUCCCACUGUUAUGGCCCUGAUUUCUGCCUCUCUCCCCAAGGCCAGGCACAGGAAAGUUACACUGAAGGACUUGAUGGAUUUGCUUGUUCACAGAAGGCAACCAACUUACCCCAACUUGCCUGGAACAGUCCUGAGUUUUCUGUAUCUCAGAAAACCUCACUGGGGUGCUGGGCCAACUAGGAUGGUUGGUUAUGUUCAGUCAUCAUAGUUCAAUAGAGGCAAUGUCUCAUCCACUUAUCUAUCCAUUUAUCCAUCCAUCCAUCCAUCCCUCCCUCCCUCCCUCCAUCCAUCCAUCUACUUAACCAUCCAUCCAUCCAUCCACCCGUCCGUCCGUCCGUCCGUCCGUCCAUCCAUCCAUCCAUCCACUCAUCCAUCCAUCCACUCAUCCAUCCAUCCAUCCAUCCAUCCAUCCAUCCAUCCA